AUUGAACGCUGGCGGCAGGCCUAACACAUGCAAGUCGAGCGAGCGGCGGACGGGUGAGUAAUGUAUGGGGACUGCCCGAUAGAGGGGGAUAACUACUGGAAACGGUGGCUAAUACCGCAUACUAUCGGAUAACCCAUAUGGGAUUAGCUAGUAGGUGGGGUAAAGGCUCACCUAGGCGACGAUCGCUAGCUGGUCUGAGAGGAUGAUCAGCUAGCCUGGGACGGAGACACGGCGCAGACUCCUGCGGAGGCAGCAGUGGGGAAUAUUGCGGAAUGGGGGCAAGCGUGAUGCAGCAAUGAGGAGUGUAUGAAGAAGGCCUGAGGGUUGUAAAGUACUUUCAGCGGGGAGGCGUUACCCGCAGAAGAAGCACCGGCUAACUCCGUGCCAGCGGCCGCGGUAAUAC
rnacentral:rRNA from 1 species